UGAAUGGUAGAGUGAUCGACGA
rnacentral:siRNA from 1 species